rnacentral:tRNA from 1 species
GGUUGAGUGGUGUAGUGGUAACACGCUGAGGUAUAAUCUCAGAACCGGAGGUUCAAACCCUCCCUCGACCA